rnacentral:rRNA from 1 species
GCAGUCGAGCGGUAGAGAGGUGCUUGCACCUCUUGAGAGCGGCGGACGGGUGAGUAAAGCCUAGGAAUCUGCCUGGUAGUGGGGGAUAACGCUCGGAAACGGACGCUAAUACCGCAUACGUCCUACGGGAGAAAGCAGGGGACCUUCGGGCCUUGCGCUAUCAGAUGAGCCUAGGUCGGAUUAGCUAGUUGGUGAGGUAAUGGCUCACCAAGGCGACGAUCCGUAACUGGUCUGAGAGGAUGAUCAGUCACACUGGAACUGAGACACGGUCCAGACUCCUACGGGAGGCAGCAGUGGGGAAUAUUGGACAAUGGGCGAAAGCCUGAUCCAGCCAUGCCGCGUGUGUGAAGAAGGUCUUCGGAUUGUAAAGCACUUUAAGUUGGGAGGAAGGGCAUUAACCUAAUACGUUAGUGUUUUGACGUUACCGACAGAAUAAGCACCGGCUAACUCUGUGCCAGCAGCCGCGGUAAUACAGAGGGUGCAAGCGUUAAUCGGAAUUACUGGGCGUAAAGCGCGCGUAGGUGGUUCGUUAAGUUGGAUGUGAAAUCCCCGGGCUCAACCUGGGAACUGCAUUCAAAACUGUCGAGCUAGAGUAUGGUAG